CCUACGGGAGGCAGCAGUGGGGAAUAUUGGACAAUGGGCGCAAGCCUGAUCCAGCAAUGCCGCGUGAGUGAUGAAGGCCUUAGGGUCGUAAAGCUCUUUUACCAGGGAUGAUAAUGACAGUACCUGGAGAAUAAGCUCCGGCUAACUCCGUGCCAGCAGCCGCGGUAAUACGGAGGGAGCUAGCGUUGUUCGGAAUUACUGGGCGUAAAGCGUACGUAGGCGGUUAUUCAAGUCAGAGGUGAAAGCCCGGGGCUCAACCCCGGAACGGCCUUUGAAACUAGGUAGCUAGAAUCUUGGAGAGGUCAGUGGAAUUCCGAGUGUAGAGGUGAAAUUCGUAGAUAUUCGGAAGAACACCAGUGGCGAAGGCGACUGACUGGACAAGUAUUGACGCUGAGGUACGAAAGCGUGGGGAGCAAACAGGAUUAGAUACCCUGGUAGUCCACGCCGUAAACGAUGAUAACUAGCUGUUCGGGCACUCGGUGCUUGAGUGGCGCAGCUAACGCAUUAAGUUAUCCGCCUGGGGAGUACGGUCGCAAGAUUAAAACUCAAAGGAAUUGACGG
rnacentral:rRNA from 1 species